GUACCAUGUCCCAGACCACUAGCACAAAGUCCAGGAGUCUAAAGGCAUGAAUUCCCAAAUAUAUUGUUCCUCGGAGACAUCUGAGUCUGCUUCUGAAGAAAACUGUGAGAUUUAGGACAAUUCUAAGUAUGCUAUCUCUGUGCACAGCCCACAAGCAGAAAAAAAUAGAUGACUUGAAGGAGGCGGUGGAGCCCUUGGAUCACUAGUUCUCAGCCUGGAUGGUUUUGUCACCCCAGGGGAUAUAUAACAAUGUAUGGAGAUAUUUUGAUUGUCACAACUGGGAAUAUGCUGUUGGUAUCUGACUAGACCAGACUGGAUGGACUAUGCUCUAAUAUCCUAGAAUUUCCUGCUUCCAUAUGGAAAAGAACAUACAACAAAAAUGAAGAAGUCAUACUUCAGCUUUUAUCUUCUUGUGGCUCAAUCAAAUGAGAUGCUCUAUGGCUUCUUCUCUUUUCCGAUGUGGACCCAGAAUUCCUGUGAGAAAUAUCUCCAGUGCUUUCAAGCUGUUCCUGCUGACACUUCCCUUCGCGAUUUGGGCUGCUGUGGUCCCUCCAAGCCUUUUUUCUUCCGGCUUCCGAUUCAACGGGCUUCUUUCCUUCAAAGGCAACUCCAUGUCAACCCUAACAAUCAACAAAAGACUCUUAGGCACGGAAACCUAAUAGCUUGCUUGUGCUACCUGCCAACCUUCUUCAAAGCACACAAGAGCACCCAAUGACCAUACACCCGCAAAAGCGUUUGCACCGAUGGGUGAAAUCCUAAAACGUGGAAGCAUCUUGAAAGCAAAUGGUAAUUAAACACUGGAAAGCUGGGGCGGAGGAAGCAAGCGAGCCAGGGAUUGGAAUCCAUUAUGUGGCUGAGGCUUCUGUCUGGUCGAUUUAAGCAGAUUGAAGCCGAGGCGGUCGCAC
rnacentral:lncRNA from 1 species